rnacentral:rRNA from 1 species
UACGGGGGGGGGCAAGCGUUGUUCGGAAUUACUGGGCGUAAAGGGCUCGUAGGCGGCCAACUAAGUCGGACGUGAAAUCCCCAGGCUCAACCUGGGAACUGCGUCCGAUACUGGAUGGCUUGAAUCCGGGAGAGGGAUGCAGAAUUCCAGGUGUAGCGGUGAAAUGCGUAGAUAUCUGGAGGAAUACCGGUGGCGAAGGCGGCAUCCUGGACCGGCAUUGACGCUGAGGAGCGAAAGCCAGGGGAGCAA